GAUGAACGCUGGCGGCGUGCCUAAUACAUGCCAGUCGAGCGAACAGAUGAGGGGCUUGCUCCUCUGACGUUAGCGGCGGACGGGUGAGUAACACGUGGAUAACCUACCUAUAAGACUGGGAUAACUUCGGGAAACCGGAGCUAAUACCGGAUAAUAUAUUGAACCGCAUGGUUCAAUAGUGAAAGACGGUUUUGCUGUCACUUAUAGAUGGAUCCGCGCCGCAUUAGCUAGUUGGUAAGGUAACGGCUUACCAAGGCAACGAUGCGUAGCCGACCUGAGAGGGUGAUCGGCCACACUGGAACUGAGACACGGUCCAGACUCCUACGGGAGGCAGCAGUAGGGAAUCUUCCGCAAUGGGCGAAAGCCUGACGGAGCAACGCCGCGUGAGUGAUGAAGGUCUUCGGAUCGUAAAACUCUGUUAUUAGGGAAGAACAAAUGUGUAAGUAACUAUGCACGUCUUGACGGUACCUAAUCAGAAAGCCACGGCUAACUACGUG
rnacentral:rRNA from 1 species